CUAACAUUUCACCAAACGGACCUUAACUAUCAGCAAAACAUGUUUAUACCUCUUUUCACCAAUACGAAAUUGAAUCUCCAUAACAUAAUAACCACUCCAGAAUUUAAAAACCCAUUUUCAAAUAAAAAAACAAGAUACUGAUUUCAAUCUCAAACAUAAAGUAGAGAAAAGGCAAACAAACUAAGAACAUAAAUUAAAUCCCACAAGACCAACAGAAUAAGAGAAACAAUGAUUAGAAGAACGAACUACCAGUAAAAACAAUGAAAUCAGGUUUCUCAGCAAGAAUCAUCCGGCGAAGAAAGGCGGUGGUGUUGAGGUCAGAGCAAGAAGAAAUCUGUUGGGGAAGAACAUCCUCACACGGGGUAUCUUUGCCAUUAGCGUAAUGCAUAUCCGCCACUUGAAGUAUCUUAAACUCCCCAUCUUUCCCAAAUGUCAGUCGCACCGGGUGGUUCCGUUGAACGGCGGUGGAUUUGGUCGGCGGAAAAGUGAGAGAGAAGAGAAGGAUCAGAAACAGGGGAGAGAGCACGGGCAUAGACAUUUUUGGGGAGAAGAAGAAAAGGAAGAAAAUUAAAGGGAAAUGGGGGAAUGAAUUUAUUGGUAUGAGGAACGAAAAACCAAAUUGAGAUUAAUGUGGAGCAAUGAAUUAACUAUGGUGCUCCUAUGUUAUAGUAUUGUAUAGUUGUGGAAGACAGAGUGCUGGUGGAGGAGUGGGAUAAGCAAUAAUGAGUAUGAAUACAUUUUAACAGUAUUCUUUACUUUGUAGUUUAAUAUUACCAAAAGUCACUCAUCCAUGACUACUUUUCUUUUCUAUUUUUGAGAACAGCCCAUUCCUUUCAAUUUUUAAAAAAGAGUCUGAAGAAUAGCAAUAAUUAUCAUGUCACUUCCAUUUUGUAAAUUACAAAAUUUAAAAGACUGCUUUUCCCUUUAAAAAAAUUAUUAUUUAAUGCAAACAUACCUUUUCAAAAGGUGCCCCACACCUUCAUUCUUUAUUAUUAUAUAUAUAAUAUACUAGCCAUGUGCUACACACCUUUCUUUUCUCAUUAUAUAAAUUUCUCGUACUAAUGAUAUAAAAUAAUUUCCUAAUAUGAUUAGGUUUUCUAGUCCAGGACCUCUUGUCCCCAGGACCUCUUGUCCACCUGAACAUACAAGUAUCAGUUGAGCUAAGCUCAUGUUGACUAAUUCUUGUUUUUUUUCUUUUUCUGUAAACAUUAAGUUUUUUUAUUCAAUUACGCACAUGUGUAAUGGGCAUUGAUGAUUUCAAUUGUUUUUAUUAUUUUAUUAGAGUAAGCUUCAACUUCUCUCCAUUAUUAUUAUUACUAUUUUAACUUGUUUAAUAUAUAUUUUUAAUAACCUUUUUUUUAAUAUAUGUGUCUUUAAUAAAAGUUGAAUUUUUUUAAAAAAAUAUGUAUCAUUUUAGUUAAGAAAUAAUCCAAUUAAAUUAGGAAACAUGAAUUAAUAAGAAAAAUUAAAUAUUUAAUAGUGAGAUAUUUAAUGUGUAUAUAUAUAUAUAUAUAUAUAUAUAUAUAUAUAUAUAUAUAUAUAAUAAUAAUAAAAAAAAAAAUACGUGAGACCCAUGCGUAAUAUAUAUAUGGGAUAGCUGCAAAUUUAGCAAUUAAAUUCAAAUUAAUUAAAUAUAUAGCACAAUUUUAAAAAAUUUGUAAAUAUAGCAAAAUUUGUUUAAUUCUAUCAAUGAUAUAAGUUUAUCACUAAUAGACUAUGUUGCAAAUAUUGGUCUAUCACUGAUAUACCAUAUGAAAUUUAUCAGCGAUAAAAGUCUAUCGGUAAUAGUUUUGCUAUAUUUACAAUUUUUAAAAAAUAUUGUCAUAUCCUUAAUUAUUAUUACUGAAAUAGUCAUCCAGUGUAAUUUCUAUAUAUAUAUAUAUAUAUAUAUAACAAGAAAAGGAGUGAGACCCAUGUUGAUCUAUAAAUUUACCCAAAUUCUAUUUUUAUAUUAGUUUCUAAAAUCACUUUAUUUUUUUAAAAAAAGUUUAAGUUCCCAAAUGAGGGAGGAUUCAAAAUCAAAUAUAUUGUUUUUUUAAAAAAAGAAUAGGUUGAGACCUAACUCUAAUUUGUACAGCUUAAAUACUAAAUCCUAAAAUACAAAUUGAAACUAGCUCGUUUUUUUUUUUUUUUUUAAUUUUUUAAAAUGUAUGUUAGAAGAUCGAAUCUUGAUUCCCAUAAUAAUAUAUAGUAUAAAUUUAUUUGGUUCUUAGCAUUAAAAAAUGUAAUUUUGAUCCAACUUUAAUUCCCCUAUCUCACAUAUUGUAAAAAAAAAUGUAUAUAUAUAUAAAAAAAAAGCAAUUGUUUCUAUUACAUUGCCUUUGUGAUAACUUUCUUUAUGAAUUGGAUGUAGAAAAGCAGUAUGAUUGUCAUAGCAGACCGGAUCUUAUUAUAUUCACUUCUCAAAGAUCGCCACCUUCACAAGAAAAUAAUUCACAUAAGUAACCACAAUUACAUAUAAUUUGGCUGAAAAAAACAUCAUAUGUAUAUAUAUAUAUAUAUAUAUAUAUAAGGAAAAGAACAAGAAAAAAGAGUAAGAAGCUUACCAAGAGAGUUCUUGCUCCAAAGAACUUGACUAUCAAUGCGUGUGAGAUGUUUAUCAUCAAGGCGUUUCCAUGUUCUGAUAGAUUUAACACUUCCCCAAUUUCCUUUAGCUGUUCUUUCCAAGUUAGCCACCACCACUCUAGCUCUCCUAGACCACCCAGCCUUCCCAUAAGCAUGGUACCCAAAUCCUCCACCAUAGCAAAGGUUAAUCCCAGUAAGCAACCCACAGAAGUCAUUGAGAUGAUCAUGGCCUGUAAACACUGCUUUUACAUCUCCUGCUUCAACCAUGGCGGUAAAGAAACCAGAAUUCACAGAAGGAGAGCUGAUCCCUACAUCUUGGAGAACACCCGUAUAGUUAGAUGCAUCAAAGCUUGAAUACUCUGGCAAUGGUAUGUGGAAGAAUGUUAGCCCAGGUGCUGCAGUCUUUUGAGGGAAUGGCUUGCCCGUGUAUGCUCUCUACACCCAACAAUAGAAAGUAUAUAUGUACUUUAUUUGUAAUUUGAUGUAUUAAAUGUGCAAGUUAUAUAAAAUAUUAUGGUUCUCAAUGCACCUUUUUUCAGUACAAAGGGAUACAUUCGAAGAAGAGCAGAAAGCAAACAUUUCACAAUACAAGACAUAGUUUCUUAGAGAAACACCACCAAUUUUACCCACCUAAAUACUAGGGGUGUUCAAGAAGCCCAAUGACGCGAAAAACCUAACCUGAAUUACCUGAACUAUUUGGUUUGAGUUAGGGUUGAAAUAUUAAAGAAACAAUUGCAGCAGUUUGUGGGUUCAAACACCAAAAUAUCCGUUCAACCUGAUUCGAACGAACUUGCACAGUACACACCUACGAUAUGCCUCUCUCCCUCUCUCUUGUUGUUCAUUCUCCUUCUCUAUCGUUUCACUCUUUCCCAACCCAAACUGCCAUACUGCUUCUCCCCCCUUUCUCUUGUGUCAUUCUCCAGCAGCAAUGCCUCUCUGUCAUUGCUGCCUGGAAUUGUGAAGUUGUGGACCUAAAAGUGUAAGGAGUUAAUAAAACAUGAAUCAACGUAUUUUAGUCAUCAGACCCACAACCUCCUUGGAAGAAACAAGUUCCCACUCCCCCAACUUUAACUUCUUGGAACAAACACCCCUAAAAAGUUUGUCCAUACUAGUAAUAAUCAGUCUGGUUCGUGUUGGUUCAAAAUUUUGGUGUUUGAACCCACAAACCGAAAAUGAGCUGUUCUUUAAAAUUUCAACCAACAAAAUUGUUAUAAACCAAACCAACUUUUAUAAUUCAAGUUGGGUUAGUUGGGUGUUCUUUUUAACAUCCCUACUCUACAAAGUAUAACACAUUAAGAUGUCGGUCAAAAGCAGAUAUAUGUACCUUGAGCAUCGCAGAAGUAAGCUGAAACCAAAACUGCUGAGAAGGUUUAAUCCAGCCAUAGCCAUAAAUCCCAGGAACUGUGGAGUAAUCACCACUGUCAAGGAAAUACAGAUUUAGAACCGAUUUGUUCUCAAAAUCAGAUCCCUUCACCCCGCUUACCUCAAGAUUGUAGUUCCCGAAUCCAUUGAUUGUCUUCAUUCCUGAAGGAUUAACCUUAGAAAGAGUACUUUUCAACCCAACUAUAUGCUUCAUUACUCCUUCCCUAGAAAGAGUAGAUUCUUGGUCAUGGUUCCCCAGAACAGCAGCCCAAGGAAUGUUGGAAGCAAUUGCUGGAGCAAAUGCAGCAUCUAAUGAUUUUGCAGCAUCCGUUGCAUCGUAUCCAAAGAUAUUGUCCCCUAACAUUUCACACAUUUAACUACUUUCAGCUUUAUUGAUUCUCAUUGGAUAACAGUUUGUCUUUUUCCACUUGGAAAUUAAACUUAUAGAUACUACUAGUAAUAAAAAACACAAAGUCUCAAAUAAGAUGUCCCUUUGAGUUUAUCAUUCUUGAAUCUGUAUGACUCUAAUACCAAAUUAGAUAACAUGAGGUUCUAUCUCUGCAAAGUAGCCCAUAUAUCAUAUAAAAAACAUGAGCUGCAUUAAAAGUUUUGACGUGGGAUCCUCAACAAACUGCCCAACACCCACUUGUACAUAUAAGUUUUCCUUGUUUCGUUAUUCACUCUCUACUGAUUUUCUAAAAAAACUUGGCCUAUUCGAUAACUAUUUGUUUUUUCUUUAAAAGAAAGAUUAUGAAGACUACUCACACCUAAAAGUGUAUGUUUAGCUAUUCACUGUCUACUAAUAUAUUAAAAAACUAAACCAAGAUUAGAAAACUAAAAAAAUAGUUUGCAAAAUACUUCCUUUUGUUUUUAAAAUUUGACUAGGAUUUCCAGUGUUUCUACAACACUCACGAAGGAAAUAAACAUAAAUUUCAAAAACAGAAACUAUCAAACGGGUCCGAAUUUAAUAUGUAACAAAACGCUUAUCAAACGGACCUUAACAAUCAGCAAAGCAUGUUUAUAUCUCUUUUCACCAAUACAAAAUUGAAUCUCCAUAACAUAAUAACCACUCUACAUUUUACAAUUUCAAAUCAACAAACAAGAUACUGAAUGCAAUCUCAAACAUAAACUAGAGAAAAACAAAACAAACUAAGAACAUAAAUUAAAUCCCACAAGACCAACAGAAUAAGAGAAACAAUGAUUAGAAGAACGAACUACCAGUAAAAACAAUGAAAUCAGGUUUCUCAGCAAGAAUCAUCCGGCGAAGAAAGGCGGUGGUGUUGAGGUCAGAACAAGAAGAAAUCUGAUCGGGAAGAACAUCCUCACACGGGGUACUUUUCCCAUUAGCAUAAUGCAUAUCCGCCACUUGAAGUAUCUUAAACUCCCCAUUUUUCCCAAAUCUCAGCCGCAUCGGUUGGUUCCGUUGAACGGCAGUGGAUUUGGUCGGCGGAAAAGUGAGAGAGAAGAGAAGGAUCAGAAACAGGGGAGACAGCACCGGCAUAGACAUUUUUGGGGAGAAGAAGAAAAGGAAAUGGAUGGUUUUGAAAAGGAAGAAAAGGGAAACGGGGGAAUGAAUUUAUUGGUAUAACUAACCAAAAACCA
rnacentral:lncRNA from 1 species